GAUGAACGCUGGCGGCGUGCCUAAUACAUGCAAGUCGAGCGAACAGACGAGGAGCUUGCUCCUCUGACGUUAGCGGCGGACGGGUGAGUAACACGUGGAUAACCUACCUAUAAGACUGGGAUAACUUCGGGAAACCGGAGCUAAUACCGGAUAAUAUAUUGAACCGCAUGGUUCAAUAGUGAAAGACGGUUUUGCUGUCACUUAUAGAUGGAUCCGCGCCGCAUUAGCUAGUUGGUAAGGUAACGGCUUACCAAGGCAACGAUGCGUAGCCGACCGGAGAGGGUGGUCGGCCACACUGGAACUGGGACACGGUCCAGACUACUACGGGAGGCAGCAGUAGGGAAUCUUCCGCAAUGGGCGAAAGCCUGACGGAGCAACGCCGAGUGAGUGAUGAAGGUCUUGGGAUCGUAAAACUCUGUUAUGAGGUAAGAACAAAUUUGUAAGUAACUAUGCACGUCUUGACGGUACCUAAUCAAAAAGCCCCGGCUAACUACGUG
rnacentral:rRNA from 1 species